AGCGGGUGAGCAGUAAGCUUUGUGCUUAUUCCUGGCUCCUGGAGAUCUGCCUCCAGGGAAACGCCUUCAGGGUCACAGUGAAAUCUCUGUGGCAGCUAAUAAAGAAACCCGUCUGCCUCUGGAACCCUGACCUGGGGAGGUGCAGGCUGGACUCCUCCUCCUCUCUGUCGCCAGACGAAGCAGAAAGAAUUCUGCAACACACCAGCUGUCUGAAUGCACAAGGACACAACAGUGCUAAGGCCGCAUUCAGUGGUCCCCUUAGGAGGAUGCUUGGGAGCAACCUAGCUCUUGUGAAAACUGGCCAAAAAGGGUGAAAACAUAAAAC
rnacentral:lncRNA from 1 species